rnacentral:rRNA from 1 species
UACGUAGGGCGCAAGCGUUGUCCGGAAUUAUUGGGCGUAAAGAGCUCGUAGGCGGUUUGUCGCGUCUGCCGUGAAAACCCGAGGCUUAACCUCGUGGCUUGCGGUGGAUACGGGCAGACUAGAGGUAGGUAGGGGAGAAUGGAAUUCCCGGUGUAGCGGUGAAAUGCGCAGAUAUCGGGAGGAACACCGGUGGCGAAGGCGGUUCUACUGGACCGAGACUGGACGCUGAGGCGCGAAAGCGUGGG